AGAGAGGGCCUGGGAGGCAGAAAAGGUUUGCAGAAACAUGGAGAGUGAGUGGGAGCAGAGAAGGAGUGAGGCAAAGAGACGAAGGUAGGGAGAGAGAACAUUGUGAAUGGGAGAGAAGGAAUAGUGGGAGAUAGAAAGUGAGUGUAUGGUAUCUCCCUUUCAGUCAUCCUCCAUUAUCUUUCUCCCUCCCUCUCCCUUCCCAUCUCGUCAAAAUCUAACACCUUCUGAGCUCAUCAAUUUUCUUCCGGACCACAAACCCCUGUUAUCUAAAUCCAUACAUCGACUCGUCGAUUCUCUUCAACCAGCUCCUCCAUCCUUCUCUCCUUCAUUCUCAUCUCGUCAACCCUAGCGCCUUAUUUCCAGGUCUCGUCUCAUUUUUAUUUUUUUGUGUGAAAUGGGUUCCACCUGAUGGUUUUGGUUCAUUCGUAGCCAGAAAGGGAAGAAGAUCCAGAACUACAACAGGACUGGAUACUUCUAGUACUAUUCUUGUGUUACAAUGGCUAUAUUGUUAUACGUUAUUAUAUCAUGGGAGGUGCAGGUUCUCGCAAAUAGGAGGUGCUUAUGUUCUUUGGAAAGAUGAUGGAUGAGGUCUGUUUUUUAGAUCUGCCAAGUGGCUUGCUAAUGUUCUCACCCUACUUCAGGUUUGGAAGUGAUGAUUUCUGUCGCCCAGGAAAUGCACCAAUUCUACAGAAUCAUGGGUUUAAAAGUGCCCGACCCUUUGUGGAAAUCUCAGAUGGUCAAAAUUCUGUAAAUUAUUGAAUAAGAUUUUCAUAAAUAUAUAGUGCAGAAACAACCAGUUUGUAAAAAAAAAAGAAUGUACAGAUGCAGCAAAGAAAUGAAUAAAUGGUAUGAUCAUGUCAAGGUUUCUAA